rnacentral:rRNA from 1 species
AUUGAACGCUGGCGGCAUGCCUUACACGUGCAAGUCGAACGGUAACGCGGGGCAACCUGGCGACGAGUGGCGAACGGGUGAGUAACACAUCGGAACGUGCCCAGUAGUGGGGAGUAGCCCGGCCGAAGACCGGAUUAAUACCGCAUACGACCUACGGGUGGAAAGACGGGGAGUCGCAAGACCUCGCGCUAUUGGAGCGGCCGAUGGCAGAUUAGGUA